AUAUUGUUUGAACACUUUGAAAUGAAUGAAAAUACACUGUAAGGGAGAUAGCAAAUCGUAACAAAAUAAGAAAAACUGUGCUAAAGCAUACUGUAACCCUUUGAGGAAACAGAGGUGAAAUCACCUUUUCUUUCUAUUGAGGAAAAUAUCCCAGAUGGCCUGGUUAGGUACAAAGUUCUCUAUCUAAGAUCUAAGGUCAAAUAGAAUAUUUAGAUCUUUACAAUAUAUAUGCCCGAAGGGGGAAAAAAAAAAAAAAAAAGUAGAUUUUAGUAGGUUGAGGCUGAGGCACAGAUAAUGGAAGACAAAUAACAAUGAGAAAACAUGCUGAGAGGAGGAAGUACAAAUUCUCCCUGCAAGAUGCAGGGGCCAACAUGGUUAAGGAAAGCCAAUCUUUUCCAGACUUUGGCCGGCUAGCUGUGCUGCUAUGGAAGUCUUUUGUAUCCAUCUCACUCAGUGGGAAACAGCAGGAUCAAACUUCUCUGCAAAAGAGCAUAUAAUUUUUUGAUGGUCUUCUUAAAUGUGUUUUGUAUCCUCCAUGAAGAGAUCAGCAUCACCCUGGCAUAGACUGCUGCCACCAGGAGCGUCUAGUAGGAUCAGGGAUAAUGAGCUGCUGCCCCUGUAGAGGAAGGAAGGAUGGUUUCUCAACAGGGAAGUCAAAGGUAAUUGCCAGUUUAUGGAGAAUAGUCGUAUUUUCAACUGGCUGAAAACGGUAUUGGAGCUUGGAGUUUGGAUCUCUAUGGUUGUUU
rnacentral:lncRNA from 1 species